UAGAAUCAGUCUGCAAAUGUCCUCCAUAUGAAGCAGCACAAAGCUGAGACUGACUGGCAUGUGCAGAAGAUACAAAACAGUCUUGUGUGAAAUUGAUGUUAGUCAGAUUUGGAAUCAUCUUUCCUAAUAUAACAUUCCUAGAUAUAAGGGGCAUGAUGGGAGCUGUAGUCCAACAACAGCUGAGCAGCCUCAGGUGUUGUAGCCUUGCCUCAUAAGGAAAGUGCUCCAGGCCCCUAAACAUCUUAGCUGCCUUCUUCUGCAGCUUUUCCAGCUCUGCGAUAUCCUUCUUAAGAUAAGGAGUGUAAGAUUAUUUACAUCGGUGGAGAUUCAAAAAUGGCCCACUUGCACUCUGAUGUGUUACAAUCCACGCUACCACCUCAGGAUUCCUAUCAGCUGAUGCUGAUGCUUGUGUAGACCAGGCCUCAGUUCAAAGCUGUCACAGACAACAGAAAGACAAAUGUUUUAUAUAUUUGGGAGGUGUAAGUAUAUAAGAAACCUUUUUUCCUCCUAGCUUGUUUGAUCACAUUGCAUUGAAGAUAGAUUGUUAUAAUAAUAAAAACUUGGCAUGCUUGCACUUUCUUACAUGAACGAGGCAGAUUAACAAGAUAUUUUCUGCAAAACACUGUA